GUUUCCGUAGUUCAACGGAUAGAAUAGCUGAUUCCGAUUCAGCCGAUAUGGGUUCGAUUCCCUUCGGGAACACAA
rnacentral:tRNA from 1 species